AUGAACGCUGGCGGCGUGCCUAAUACAUGCAAGUCGAGCGAACAGACGAGGAGCUUGCUCCUCUGACGUUAGCGGCGGACGGGUGAGUAACACGUGGAUAACCUACCUAUAAGACUGGGAUAACUUCGGGAAACCGGAGCUAAUACCGGAUAAUAUAUUGAACCGCAUGGUUCAAUAGUGAAAGACGGUUUUGCUGUCACUUAUAGAUGGAUCCGCGCCGCCUUAGCUAGUUGGUAAGGUAACGGCUUACCAAGGCGACGAUGCGUAGCCGACCUGAGAGGGUGAUCAGCCACACUGGAACUGAGACACGGUCCAGACUCCUACGGGAGGCAGCAGUAGGGAAUCUUCCGCAAUGGGCGAAAGCUUGACGGAGCAACGCCGCGUGAGUGAUGAAGGUCUUCGGAUCGUAAAACUCUGUUAUUAGGGAAGAACAAAUGUGUAAGUAACUAUGCACGUCUUGACGGUACCUAAUCAGAAAGCCACGGCUAACUACGUG
rnacentral:rRNA from 1 species